rnacentral:tRNA from 1 species
GGAUCUAUGGCACAAUGGUAGCACGUCUGACUCCAGAUCAUAAAAUUGUGUGUUUGACUCACGUUGGGCUCA